rnacentral:lncRNA from 1 species
GUUUUCGUUAACUCUUGUUAUGAUUGUGUCAUAUACUUUACGUUGCUCUGAAGUCAUAGUUGACAUCAAUCUAACAUGUUCCUCAGCUAAUGAUUGUCUGUUAUAAUUCAAUUCGUCGUGUAUAUAUCAGUAACUAAUGAUGUGUCUGCUCUAAGCAUUGGAGGAUAAUCUUUUAAACUCUUCCGACAACUACGUAACAUCAUCUCAAUAUCUGCUGGUGCAUAUUGUAUCAAUUGAUCAUCGGUUAAUAUUAAAUCUAUAAUGUUAAAAUCAAAAUAACGAAUGUGAUUAGUGACAUGACUAUGAUUGUGUUUGGUUGUAUUGCAAAAAAAAUUGAUUUAGC